ACGGGUGAGUAACACGUGAGUAACCUGCCCUUGACUCUGGGAUAAGCGCUGGAAACGGCGUCUAAUACCGGAUACGACCUGCCCCGGCAUCGGGUGCGGGUGGAAAGUUUUUCGGUCAAGGAUGGACUCGCGGCCUAUCAGGUAGUUGGUGAGGUAAUGGCUCACCAAGCCGACGACGGGUAGCCGGCCUGAGAGGGUGACCGGCCACACUGGGACUGAGACACGGCCCAGACUCCUACGGGAGGCAGCAGUGGGGAAUAUUGCACAAUGGGCGAAAGCCUGAUGCAGCAACGCCGCGUGGGGGAUGACGGCCUUCGGGUUGUAAACCUCUUUUAGUAGGGAAGAAGGGCUUCGGCUUGACGGUACCUGCAGAAAAAGCACCGGCUAACUACGUGCCAGCAGCCGCGGUAAUACGUAGGGUGCAAGCGUUGUCCGGAAUUAUUGGGCGUAAAGAGCUCGUAGGCGGUUUGUCGCGUCUGCUGUGAAAACCCGAGGCUCAACCUCGGGCCUGCAGUGGGUACGGGCAGACUAGAGUGCGGUAGGGGAGAAUGGAAUUCCUGGUGUAGCGGUGGAAUGCGCAGA
rnacentral:rRNA from 1 species